rnacentral:rRNA from 1 species
UACGUAGGUGGCAAGCGUUGUCCGGAUUUACUGGGCGUAAAGAGCGCGCAGGCGGUCGAGUAAGUCGAAUGUGAAAGCCCCCGGCUUAACUGGGGAGGGUCAUUCGAUACUGUUCGACUUGAAGGCAGGAGAGGGCAGCAGAAUUCCCGGUGUAGUGGUGAAAUGCGUAGAUAUCGGGAGGAACACCAGUGGCGAAGGCGACUACCUGGCCUGUUCUUGACGCUGAGGCGCGAAAGCUAGGGUAGCAAACGGG